rnacentral:lncRNA from 1 species
GGGGGGUGAAGGGAAUGUGCUAGCCAAUAGGAGAGAGAGAGGGGGGUGAAGGGAAUGAGCUAGCCAAUAGGAGAGAGAGGGGGGAUGAAGGGAAUGUGCUAGCCAAUAGGAGAGAGAGAGAGUGGGGGUGAAGGGAAUGUGCUAGCCAAUAGGAGAGAGAGAGAGGGGGUGAAGGGAAUGUGCUAGCCAAUAGGAGAGAGAGAGAGGGGGGUGAAGGGAAUGAGCUAGCCAAUAGGAGAGAGAGAGGGGGUGAAGGGAAUGUGCUAGCCAAUAGGAGAGAGAGGGGGGUGAAGGGAAUGUGCUAGCCAAUAGGAGAGAGAGAGAGGGAGGGUGAAGGGAAUGUGCUAGCCAAUAGGAGAGAGAGGGGGGGUGAAGGGAAUGAGCUAGCCAAUAGGAGAGAGAGAGAGGGGGGUGAAGGGAAUGUGCUAGCCAAUAGGAGAGAGAGGGAGGGGGGGUGAAGGGAAUGUGAUAGCCAAUAGGAGAGAGAGAGAGGGGGGGUGAAGGGAAUAUGCUAGCCAAUAGGAGAGAGAGAGAGGGGGGUGAAGGGAAUGUGCUAGCCAAUAGGAGAGAGAGAGAG